UACGUAGGGUGCGAGCGUUAAUCGGAAUUACUGGGCGUAAAGCGUGCGCAGGCGGUGAUGUAAGACAGAUGUGAAAUCCCCGGGCUCAACCCGGGAACUGCGUCCGAUACUGGGAGGCUUGAAUCCGGGAGAGGGAUGUGGAAUUCCAGGUGUAGCGGUGAAAUGCGUAGAUAUCUGGAGGAACACCGGUGGCGAAGGCGGGUCUCUGGGCCGUAACUGACGCUGAGGAGCGAAAGCGUGGGGAGCGAACGGG
rnacentral:rRNA from 1 species